AUUGAACGCUGGCGGCAGGCCUAACACAUGCAAGUCGAACGAGUGGCGGACGGGUGCGUAAUGUCUGGGAAACUGCCUGAUGGAGGGGGAUAACUACUGGAAACGGUAGCUAAUACGGCAUACCAUCAAAUAUGCCCAGAUGGGAUUAGCAAGGUGGUGGGGUAACGGCUCACCAAGGCGAAGAUCACUAGCAGGUCUGAGAGGAUGACCGUCCACACUGGAACUGAGACACGGUCCAGACUCCUACGGGAGGCAGCAGUGGGGAAUAGUGCACAAUGGGCGCAAGCCGGAUGCAGCUAUGCCGCGUGUAUGAAGAAGGCCUUCGGGUUGUAAAGUACUUUCAUCGGGGAGGCGUUACCCGCACAAGAAGCACCGGCUAACUCCGUGCCAGCAGCCGCGGUAAUUC
rnacentral:rRNA from 1 species